GAGUUUGAUCCUGGCUCAGAACGAACGCUGGCGGCGCGCUUAACACAUGCAAGUCGAACGAGAAGCUGUAGCAAUACAGUUGUAAAGUGGCAAACGGGUGAGUAAUGCGUGGGUAAUCUACCCUAGGGUGGGGAAUAACUCCUCGAAAGGGGAGCUAAUGCCGACAUGUGCGCCACUCUCGCAAGGGAGUGAUGGAAAGCCGUACCGUGGGUGCGGCGCCCAAGGAUGAGCUCACGUCCUAUCAGCUUGUUGGCGGGGUAACGGCCCACCAAGGCUGCGACGGGUAGCUGGUCUGAGAGGACGACCAGCCACACUGGCACUGCGACACGGGCCAGACUCCUACGGGAGGCAGCAGUGAGGAAUAUUGCGCAAUGGACGACAGUCUGACGCAGCGACGCCGCGUGGGGGAUGAAGGCCUUCGGGUUGUAAACCCCUUUCAGGAGGGAAGAUGGGACGGGUAACCGUUCGGACGGUACCUCCAGAAGCAGCCACGGCUAACUCUGUGCCAGCAGCCGCGGUAAGACAGAGGUGGCAAGCGUUGUUCGGAUUUACUGGGCGUAAAGAGUGCGUAGGUGGUGAGGUAAGAUCUGUGGGAAAGACCUGGGCUUGACCCAGGAAGGUCGCAGAUGACUGCCUCGCUUGAGGACGGGAGAGGAGAGCGGAAUUCCCGGUGUAGCGGUGAAAUGCGUAGAGAUCGGG
rnacentral:rRNA from 1 species